GAAAUGCGAUAAGUAAUGUGAAUUGCAGAAUUCAGUGAAUCAUCGAAUCUUUGAACGCACAUUGCGCCCGCCAGUAUUCUGGCGGGCAUGCCUGUUCGAGCGUCAUUUCAACCAUCAAGCCCCGGGCUUGUGUUGGGGACCUGCGGCUGCCACAGGCCCUGAAAACCAGUGGCGGGCUCGCUGUCACACCGAGCGUAGUAGCAUACAUCUCGCUCUGGGCGUGCUGCGGGUUCCGGCCGUUAAACCACCUUCGUAACCCAAGGUUGACCUCGGAUCAGGUAGGAAGACCCGCUGAACUUAAGC
rnacentral:misc_RNA from 1 species